rnacentral:misc_RNA from 1 species
CAAUGCGGUUGAACUGUACUGGGUGAAGGUGAAGGCCCGCGUUGCUGGACGCUUGACCGAAAAGACCUUCAAGAUGGCGGCGCCGAAUGGGUAGGAUGCCCAAGGACGCCGGGCCGGAGACUCAGAGGUAUCUCCGCGAUCUGGAAGAACAGGUGCGACAACUGCGAACGGGCAACGUAGAUUUGAGAAGGCGCCGGUUCGUCAACGCACACGACGCAGUGAGCAGGGCAGACUUUCUCACCAAGGGGCAGUUUGACGAUGCACUGGAGCAGGUAGCAGACAACCUCAACAACGUCAACCGAACGCUCAAGCGUGCAAUCUCUG